AUUGAACGCUGGCGGCAGGCCUAACACAUGCAAGUCGAACGAGUGGCGGACGGGUGAGUAAUGUCUGGGAAACUGCCUGAUGGAGGGGGAUAACUACUGGAAACGGUAGCUAAUACCGCAUACUAUUGGAUGUGCCCAAAUGGGAUUAGCUAGUAGGUGGGGUAAAGGCUCACCUAGGCGACGAUCCCUAGCUGGUCUGAGAGGAUGACCAGCCACACUGGAACUGAGACAGCGUCCAGACUCCUACGGGGGGCAGCAGUGGGGAAUCUUGCACAAUGGGCGCAAGCCUGAUGCAGCCAUUCCGCGUGUAGGAAGAAGGCUGUCGGGUUGUAAAGGACUUUCAGCAGGGAGGCGUUACCCGCAGAAGAAGCACCGGCGAACUACGUGACAGCAGCCUCGGUAAUUC
rnacentral:rRNA from 1 species